GACGAACGCUGGCGGCGUGCUUAACACAUGCAAGUCGAACGGAAAUGCUCUGCUUUUGUGUGGUGCUCGAGUGGCGAACGGGUGAGUAACACGUGAGUAACCUGCCCUUUACUUUGGGAUAACUUCAGGAAACUGGGGCUAAUACCGGAUAGGAGCUCCUGCUGCAUGGUGGGGGUUGGAAAGUUUCGGCGGUUGGGGAUGGACUCGCGGAUUAUCAGCUUGUUGGUGGGGUAGUGGCUUACCAAGGCUUUGACGGGUAGCCGGCCUGAGAGGGUGACCGGCCACAAUGGGAAUGAGAUACGGCACAGACUACUACGGGAGGCAGCAGUGGGGAAUAUUGCACAAUGGGCGGAAGCCUGAUGAAGCAACGCCGCGUGCGGGAUGACGGCCUUCGGGUUGUAAAACGCUUUCGCCUGUGACGAAGCGUGAGUGAGGGUAAUAGGUAAAGAAGCACCGGCUAACUACGG
rnacentral:rRNA from 1 species